rnacentral:tRNA from 1 species
GCCAGUGUGGCAUAGUGGUUUGAGUGUUGGACUAUAACUCUGGAGACUAGGGUUCGAUUCCCCAACUCAGUCG